UACAGAGGUCUCAAGCGUUGUUCGGAUUCAUUGGGCGUAAAGGGUGCGUAGGUGGCGUGGUAAGUCGGGUGUGAAAUUUCGGAGCUUAACUCCGAAACUGCAUUCGAUACUGCCGUGCUUGAGGACUGGAGAGGAGACUGGAAUUUACGGUGUAGCAGUGAAAUGCGUAGAUAUCGGAAAGGAACAUCAGUGGCGAAAGCGGCUUCCUGGACCAGCACCGACGUUCAGGCACGAAAGCGUGGGGAGCAAACAGGA
rnacentral:rRNA from 1 species